rnacentral:rRNA from 1 species
UGGGUAACCUGCCUCAUAGUGGGGGAUAGCCUUCCGAAAGGGAGAUUAAUACCGCAUAACAUCAUUAGAUGGCAUCAUUUAGUGAUCAAAGGAUUUAUUCGCUAUGAGAUGGACCCGCGUCGCAUUAGCUAGUUGGUAGGGUAAUGGCUUACCAAGGCGACGAUGCGUAGCCGACCUGAGAGGGUGAUCGGCCACAUUGGGACUGAGACACGGCCCAGACUCCUACGGGAGGCAGCAGUGGGGAAUAUUGCACAAUGGGGGAAACCCUGAUGCAGCAACGCCGCGUGAGUGAUGACGGUCUUCGGAUUGUAAAGCUCUGUCUUUGGGGACGAUAAUGACGGUACCCAAGGAGGAAGCCACGGCUAACUACGUGCCAGCAGCCGCGGUAAUACGUAUGUGGCGAGCGUUAUCCGGAAUUAUUGGGCGUAAAGGGAGCGUAGGCGGAUAAUUAAGUGGGAUGUGAAAUACUCAGGCUCAACCUGGGGGCUGCAUUC